ACAGCUUCCUCAAAAGCAUGUGCUGAUCAGUACUCAGCUGGAGGCCUAAAGAAACUCUGAGAAGCUCCAAUGUGCCAUACAAACUCCAGUUACACUGACUUUCCAGACUUCCCGUUCCAUCUUCUCAGUUCAAGAAGACUGCCAAACUCUGGGUUCCCUCUGCUUGGGCAGCAGUCUCUCAGGACGUAUCAUGGCUUCAAGAAACAGAAUUAAGAGCAACGAUUAGAAAUUAUAGUGAUAUUGUAGGCUCAUCAGGAAAGAAGGAGCAAAAAAAUGGCAUUUUAUCCUACUUUCUCAAGAG